rnacentral:rRNA from 1 species
GACGAACGCUGGCGGCGUGCUUAACACAUGCAAGUCGAACGGUAAGGCUCCAGCUUGCUGGGGUACACGAGUGGCGAACGGGUGAGUAACACGUGGGUGACCUGCCCUGCACUUCGGGAUAAGCCUGGGGAACUGGGUCUAAUACCGGAUAGGACCGCACCGUGAGGGUGUGGUGGAAAGUUUUUUCGGUGUGGGAUGGGCCCGCGGCCUAUCAGCUUGUUGGUGGGGUAAUGGCCUACCAAGGCGGCGACGGGUAGCCGGCCUGAGAGGGUGGACGGCCACAUUGGGACUGAGACACGGCCCAGACUCCUACGGGAGGCAGCAGUGGGGAAUAUUGCACAAUGGGCGGAAGCCUGAUGCAGCGACGCCGCGUGGGGGAUGACGGCCUUCGGGUUGUAAACUCCUUUCACCAUCGACGAAGGGUUUCUGACGGUAGAUGGAGAAGAAGCACCGGCUAACUACGUGCCAGCAGCCGCGGUAAUACGUAGGGUGCGAGCGUUGUCCGGAAUUACUGGGCGUAAAGAGCUCGUAGGUGGUUUGUCGCGUCGUCUGUGAAAUUCCGGGGCUUAACUCCGGGCGUGCAGGCGAUACGGGCAUAACUUGAGUACUGUAGGGGAGACUGGAAUUCCUGGUGUAGCGGUGAAAUGCGCAGAUAUCAGGAGGAACACCGGUGGCGAAGGCGGGUCUCUGGGCAGUAACUGACGCUGAGGAGCGAAAGCAUGGGGAGCGAACAGGAUUAGAUACCCUGGUAGUCCAUGCCGUAAACGGUGGGCGCUAGGUGUGGGUUUCCUUCCACGGGAUCCGUGCCGUAGCUAACGCAUUAAGCGCCCCGCCUGGGGAGUACGGCCGCAAGGCUAAAACUCAAAGGAAUUGACGGGGGCCCGCACAAGCGGCGGAGCAUGUGGAUUAAUUCGAUGCAACGCGAAGAACCUUACCUGGGCUUGACAUAUACAGGAUCGCGCCAGAGAUGGUGUUUCCCUUGUGGCUUGUAUACAGGUGGUGCAUGGUUGUCGUCAGCUCGUGUCGUGAGAUGUUGGGUUAAGUCCCGCAACGAGCGCAACCCUUGUCUUAUGUUGGCAGCACGUUGUGGUGGGGACUCGUAAGAAACUGCCGGGGUUAACUCGGAGGAAGGUGGGGAUGACGUCAAAUCAUCAUGCCCCUUAUGUCCAGGGCUUCACACAUGCUACAAUGGUCGGUACAGUGGGUUGCCAGUCCGUGAGGGCGAGCUAAUCCCGCAAAGCCGGUCUCAGUUCGGAUCGGGGUCCGCAACUCGACCCCGUGAAGUCGGAGUCGCUAGUAAUCGCAGAUCAGCAACGCUGCGGUGAAUACGUUCCCGGGCCU